rnacentral:rRNA from 1 species
AUUAUUGGGCUUAAAGCGUCCGUAGCCGGCUUGGCAAGUCUUCCGUUAAAUCCAGCAACCUAAUUGUUGGGCUGCGGGGGAUACUGUUAGGCUAGGGGGCGGGAGAGGCCGACGGUAUUCUCGGGGUAGGGGUGAAAUCUUAUAAUCCCGAGAGGACCACCAGUGGCGAAGGCUGUCGGCUAGCACGCGCUUGACGGUGAGGGACGAAAGCUGGGGGAGCGAACCGGAUUAGAUACCCGGGUAGUCCCUGCUGUAAACGAUGCGAGCUAGGUGUUGGGGCGGCUACGAGCCGCUUCAGUGCCGCAUCGAAGGCGUUAAGCUCGCCGCCUGGGGAGUACGGCCGCAAGGCUGAAACUUAAAGGAAUUGGC